UGCAAGUCGAGCGAACGGACGAGAAGCUUGCUUCUCUGAUGUUAGCGGCGGACGGGUGAGUAACACGUGGAUAACCUACCUAUAAGACUGGGAUAACUUCGGGAAACCGGAGCUAAUACCGGAUAAUAUUUUGAACCGCAUGGUUCAAAAGUGAAAGACGGUCUUGCUGUCACUUAUAGAUGGAUCCGCGCUGCAUUAGCUAGUUGGUAAGGUAACGGCUUACCAAGGCAACGAUGCAUAGCCGACCUGAGAGGGUGAUCGGCCACACUGGAACUGAGACACGGUCCAGACUCCUACGGGAGGCAGCAGUAGGGAAUCUUCCGCAAUGGGCGAAAGCCUGACGGAGCAACGCCGCGUGAGUGAUGAAGGUCUUCGGAUCGUAAAACUCUGUUAUUAGGGAAGAACAUAUGUGUAAGUAACUGUGCACAUCUUGACGGUACCUAAUCAGAAAGCCACGGCUAACUACGUGCCAGCAGCCGCGGUAAUACGUAGGUGGCAAGCGUUAUCCGGAAUUAUUGGGCGUAAAGCGCGCGUAGGCGGUUUUUUAAGUUCUGAUGUGAAAGCCCCACGGCUCAACCCGUGGAGGGUCAUUGGAAACUGGAAAACUUGAGUGCAGAAGAGGAAAGUGGAAUUCCAUGUGUAGCGGUGAAAUGCGCAGAGAUAUGGAGGAACACCAGUGGCGAAGGCGACUUUCUGGUCUGUAACUGACGCUGAUGUGCGAAAGCGUGGGGAUCAAACAGGAUUAGAUACCCUGGUAGUCCACGCCGUAAACGAUGAGUGCUAAGUGUUAGGGGGUUUCCCGCCCCUUAGUGCUGCAGCUAACGCAUUAAGCACUCCGCCUGGGGAGUACGACCGCAAGGUUGAAACUCAAAGGAAUUGACGGGGACCCGCACAAGCGGUGGAGCAUGUGGUUUAAUUCGAAGCAACGCGAAGAACCUUACCAAAUCUUGACAUCCUUUGACAACUCUAGAGAUAGAGCUUUCCCCUUCGGGGGACAAAGUGACAGGUGGUGCAUGGUUGUCGUCAGCUCGUGUCGUGAGAUGUUGGGUUAAGUCCCGCAACGAGCGCAACCCUUAAGCUUAGUUGCCAUCAUUAAGUUGGGCACUCUAAGUUGACUGCCGGUGACAAACCGGAGGAAGGUGGGGAUGACGUCAAAUCAUCAUGCCCCUUAUGAUUUGGGCUACACACGUGCUACAAUGGACAAUACAAAGGGCAGCGAAACCGCGAGGUCAAGCAAAUCCCAUAAAGUUGUUCUCAGUUCGGAUUGUAGUCUGCAACUCGACUACAUGAAGCUGGAAUCGCUAGUAAUCGUAGAUCAGCAUGCUACGGUGAAUACGUUCCCGGGUCUUGUACACACCGCCCGUCACACCACGAGAGUUUGUAACACCCGAAGCCGGNUGGAGUAACCUUUUAGGAGCUAGCC
rnacentral:rRNA from 1 species